rnacentral:rRNA from 1 species
GAUGAACGCUGGCGGCGUGCCUAAUACAUGCAAGUCGAGCGAACAGACGAGGAGCUUGCUCCUCUGACGUUAGCGGCGGACGGGUGAGUAACACGUGGAUAACCUACCUAUAAGACUGGGAUAACUUCGGGACACCGGAGCUAAUACCGGAUAAUAUAUUGAACCGCAUGGUUCAAUAGUGAAAGACGGUUUUGCUGUCACUUAUAGAUGGAUCCGCGCCGCAUUAGCUAGUUGGUAAGGUAACGGCUUACCAAGGCGACGAUGCGUAGCCGACCUGAGAGGGUGAUCGCCGACACGGGAACUGAGACACGGUCCAUACGCCUGCGGGAGGCAGCAGUAGGGAAUCUUCCGCAAUGGGCGAAAGCCUGACGGAGCAACGCCGCGUGAGUGAUGAAGGUCUUCGGAUCGUAAAACUCUGUUAUUAGGGAAGAACAAAUGUGUAAGUAACUAUGCACGUCUUGACGGUACCUAAUCAGAAAGCCACGGCUAACUACGUG